AUCCUGGCUUAGGAUGAACGCUAGCGGCAGGCUUAACACAUGCAAGUCGAGGGGCAUCGGGAGUAGCAAUACUUGCCGGCGACCGGCGCAAGGGUGCGUAACGCGUGAGCAACAUGCCCGUAUCAGGGGGAUAAUCCAUGGAAACGUGGUCUAAUACCCCAUAGUAAUUAUGUAAGGCAUCUUAUAUAAUUUAAAGCUUUGGUGGAUACGGAUUGGCUCGCGUGACAUUAGCUAGAUGGUAAGGUAACGGCUUACCAUGGCUACGAUGUCUAGGGGUUCUGAGAGGAAGGUCCCCCCACACUGGAACUGAGACACGGUCCAGACUCCUACGGGAGGCAGCAGUGAGGAAUAUUGGACAAUGGAUGGAAAUCUGAUCCAGCCAUGCCGCGUGCAGGAAAGACGGCCCUAUGGGUUGUAAACUGCUUUUGUAUGGGAGCAAUAAGGGCUACGUGUAGUCCGAUGAGAGUACCAUACGAAUAAGCACCGGCUAACUCCGUGCCAGCAGCGGC
rnacentral:rRNA from 1 species